CCCACAUGGGCGGGCAGUCGAAUCGGUUGCAGGCCUGCACGGAGCUGGGCUUGGGGUGCCGGCAUUCUGAUUCGCCAGCCGGGACCGUCCCGUUAUCUCCAUGGGAACGAGGGCGGGCACAGACCACGGCUCGUGUCCUGAGACCCACCCCACAGGUGGCUGAGCAUGGACUCCAAGCGCCAACCUCCCACCUGCGGGCAUAAAGGAGGGGAGUCAGGAAAGACGGAGAGAGGGGUUAUAACCUGUGUUAGGUAAUAUGGAGCCCCCCCAGCUACAAGACACACUCUGCACUCACGCUCCACUCACACGGCGCAAGGGGAUGGAGAACAGCGACAGCCUGCCCAAGAAGCACCGGGGGUUUACUCUCAGAGAGGCUGAUUUCUGAAGAGCUGCCUUGUAUUUAAGACCAAGACCUUCCAGAUCGUCAGUGCAGGGGAGAUUUGGAACGGGAUUGGACAUUAACCUCACAUGACACGGCAGAUGCGCUACACUUUGGGCCUCUGCGUUGCCAUGGUUAUGUCUGCUGCUAAGAACACCCCUUGCAGUAGCACAGCCCUGGUGCUACCUGGCAGUGGGACUUUCCUAAGAAGAAAACUGAGAUUGCAUUCCAGCUGUCAGCUACGCAUGCCAGGGCUCAGUAGAUCCUACAUCCCCCUUGUCAUUGUAUACUCGGCCUCAUACAUAUUCCUCAUGUCACAACUCCAGCUGUGUGGUGGCCUACUGCUUCACGCAUCUUCUUAAUCUCCAUGCCACCUACUCUAUGAUGUC